rnacentral:lncRNA from 1 species
GUCAACUUGACGGUAACAACAUAGCAUUCGUUUUUCAAACGAUAAUCGCCCCUCGACGCCACCAGCAUUGUGAAAAACAUGGCCGGAAGAUCCGCAUUACUGAUUCUAGCCAUCGCUUUGCUGCUUGUAUGUGAAGGGAAUGCAAUUAGAAGAUCGUCGUCGGAGCCUCAAGCCGGUGCGAGAACCUUCUCAGAGGCAUCGGAGCGUUCCAGCAGUGCAGCCCACGAAGAGCAAGGACGCGUGGGCAGCAAUUGUGUCGCCACGCUCUGUGGCCAGCCCAUGGGGUGAGAAGUCAACGCUUCUUGAUGGCCAUCUGGACAGAGGCAGCGGGCGAGAAUGGUGGUGGGUGGACGUGAUCCUGUAUUAAAGGA